UACGAAGGGUGCAAACGUUGCUCGGAAUCAUUGGGCGUAAAGAGCUCGUAGGCGGCUUGUCGCGUCGGCUGUGAAAACCCGCGGCUCAACUGUGGGCGGGCAGCUGAUACGGGCAGGCUGGAGUUCGGUAGGGGAGACUGGAAUUCCUGGUGUAGCGGUGAAAUGCGUAGAUAUCGGGAGGAACACCAGUGGCGAAGGCGGCUUCCUGGCCUGUUCUUGACGCUGAGGCGCGAAAGCUAGGGGAGCAAACGGG
rnacentral:rRNA from 1 species